AGAGUUUGAUCCUGGCUCAGAGCGAACGCUGGCGGCAGGCUUAACACAUGCAAGUCGAGCGGGCGUAGCAAUACGUCAGCGGCAGACGGGUGAGUAACACGUGGGAACGUACCUUUGGUUCGGAACAACUGAGGGAAACUUCAGCUAAUACCGGAUAAGCCCUAACGGGGAAAGAUUUAUCGCCGAAAGAUCGGCCCGCGUCUGAUUAGCUAGUUGGUGAGGUAAUGGCUCACCAAGGCGACGAUCAGUAGCUGGUCUGAGAGGAUGAUCAGCCACACUGGGACUGAGACACGGCCCAGACUCCUACGGGAGGCAGCAGUGGGGAAUAUUGGACAAUGGGGGCAACCCUGAUCCAGCCAUGCCGCGUGAGUGAUGAAGGCCCUAGGGUUGUAAAGCUCUUUUGUGCGGGAAGAUAAUGACGGUACCGCAAGAAUAAGCCCCGGCUAACUUCGUG
rnacentral:rRNA from 1 species